rnacentral:rRNA from 1 species
GACGUAGGGCGCGAGCGUUGUCCGGAUUUAUUGGGCGUAAAGAGCUCGUAGGUGGUUCGGUAAGUCGGAUGUGAAAUCUCCAGGCUCAACCUGGAGGGGUCAUUCGAUACUGCCGUGACUAGAGUUCGGUAGGGGAGUGUGGAAUUCCUGGUGGAGCGGUGAAAUGCGCAGAUAUCAGGAGGAACACCCGUAGCGAAGGCGGCACUCUGGGCCGAUACUGACGCUGAGGAGCGAAAGCGUGGGGAGCAAACAGG